rnacentral:sRNA from 1 species
GUUUGGUGUUGCGGUCUUGAAUUAAACUCAUAUUUGAUCCUACCUUAACAAUUUGUGAAAGAACCCAGAACAUACAAGAGACGAAAAAUGUCCGAAAAAGAAAGAAAACUACCUGUUAUUUUAAAUGGCCAAUUUUUUAAGCCAGAUGUCAAAUGUGUAUUGUGUGUAAAUAAAACUAUUAAAUUCGACGAAAAUGCAACUGGAAAUUUACACAAACAUCUUAAGAGGGUGCAUCCAAACAGCUACGCGUCAUAUGAGGCCAUGAAAUCAAAAGUGGCAAAAAAGGAAGAGAAUAAAUUAUCAGAGCCUAAGCCAAAUUUCUUCUGUUUCCAAAGUUCAAGCCAGCUAAACAACACUAUGCGACUAUAUUAUCGCUGAAAUGCGUAUUCGAAACCUUAGUUAUGCUUAAAAAACCAUUAAUUAAGUAAGUUAAUCAUACUAUAAAAGUUUUUGUAAGUUUA